CUGCAGGUUGGUGCGUGUUUGGUGAGCCAAAAUGGUGUCAUUCUGGGGAUUGGCUAUAAUGGUUUUCCAAGAGGCUGCUCUGAUGACAAACUUCCUUGGGCCAAGAAAUCAAGAACUGGGGACCCAUUAGAGACCAAGUAUCCGUAAGUACUUGAUCAGCUUAGCCGGCUAUGUUUGAGAACUUGAUCAGUUUAAACAUGACUUUAUGUUUUGUUUAUGACUUGGUUUGAUGUAUGUUUACAUGUUCCUUUUAGAGUUCAUGAUUUAAAUAUGUACACUUUGUAUGCUUUGGAUCUUAAAUGGAAAAGCAUUGGUCUUUUAUGA